UGUCCACCAGAGGGCGUCUGAAUUCCAGUUUUGCUCUCAUCGCAUAAUGUUCUCAUGCCUACAGUAUAUCUGCUAAUCAUGCAGCGGAGGUACAGUAGUCUUUCUGCUGGCUAGGGAAAGACUUAAUGAUAUGUCGAUGAAAAACUCAACUUUAGGGCAGUACGAGAAUUGUAAAUGGUGUCGAUGGAAACAAAAAUCUACCAAACAGCUCUUUCAUGCUCUUGAGGUACAAUUGUUUAUGAACCAGACGUUUGGGAGAAACAAUGCGCAGCGGCCCGAGCCACGAGUAUUCACUGUUCAGCUUGUAAAGACAGUAUGCCAGGAUGACUAAAGAGAUAAGGGGCCCAUCUCGAAUCCCCAUGGAGACUGGAUUUCCCCUGAGACCGCAUCUUUCCCGGAGGAUGACUGCGUAAAGUGUCACUAGAUCUUGGAGGCAAGUGUUUUUAAGACUUUAAGGCUUUUCUUGCGGCUCGAUUUCUUUAAUUACACACCGUCCCGUGGUGUAAUUCUUAAUCUUUCUAACAGAUAAAGUUUAAAG
rnacentral:lncRNA from 1 species